rnacentral:ncRNA from 4 species
GACGGGCGAUGGCCUCCGUUGCCCUC